rnacentral:rRNA from 1 species
UACGUAGGGUGCGAGCGUUAAUCGGAAUUACUGGGCGUAAAGCGUGCGCAGGCGGUUUUGUAAGCCAGAUGUGAAAUCCCCGGGCUUAACCUGGGAAUGGCAUUUGGGACUGCAAGGCUGGAGUGUGGCAGAGGAGACUGGAAUUCCCGGUGUAGCAGUGAAAUGCGUAGAUAUCGGGAGGAACACCUGCGGCGAAGGCGGGUUGCUGGGCUGAUACUGACGCUGAGGCGCGAAAGCCAGGGGAGCGAACGGG